rnacentral:tRNA from 1 species
CUGAUUUACCAUGGGCGCGUCGCGACAGCGGCUUUACGCUCUUGUUUGAAGCAAUGAUUAUCGCAUUAGUACCAUCA